rnacentral:rRNA from 1 species
GACGAACGCUGGCGGCGUGCUUAACACAUGCAAGUCGAACGGGCCUGUCUUCUUUUUUGGGGGGUGGGUUGAGUGGCGAACGGGUGAGUAUCACGUGAGUAACCUGCCCUUCGGUCCUGGAUAACCGCUUGAAAGGGCGGCUAAUACGGGGUGGUCCGGUUGGUCCGCAUGGGCUGGUCGGGAUAGAUUCACUGUUUUUGGGGUUUCGGCGGGGGAUGGGCUCGGGGCCUAUCGGCUUGUUGGUGGGGUGUUGGCGUACCGGGGCGGGGACGGGUAGCCGGCCUGAGGGGGUGGGCGGCCAAACUGGGACUGAGAUACGGCCCAGACUCCUGCGGGAGGCAGCAGUGGGGGGUAUUGCACAAUGGGCGAAAGCAUGAUGCAGCGACGUCGCGUGAGGGAUGGAGGCCUUCGGGUUGUGAACCUCUGUUUCGGGUGGUGAAGGCCCUGUCCGUGUGGUGGGGUUGACGGUAGCCGGGGAUGAAGCGCCGGCUAACUACGUG